rnacentral:sRNA from 1 species
CAGGAAGGGGACAUUGGGUGACCCACCCCAAGGCAGGUCAGAGGGGCUUGCCAGGGCUCCCUGGGGAGUGGUCUCUGGCCUCCUCUGAGUCUUCCAACCCUAAUGGUGCCUGGCAUAGAUAUUCUGUCCACUUCAGCUCGAGCUCCCACAACACUCUGAGGCCUGCACCCAAAGGCAGUGUCCAGGAGAGCGUUGUCCGGUCUCGGAGAAUGGUGGAGCCCCUGGAGGACAGAAGGCAAGAGAACUUCUUCUGUGGCCCCCCUGAGAAGAGCUAUGCAAAGCUGGUGUUCAUGUCCACCUCCUCGGGCAGCCUAUGGAACCUGCAUGCCAU